rnacentral:rRNA from 1 species
AGUGAACGCUGGCGGCAGGCCUAAUACAUGCAAGUCGAACGGCAGCACGGCAGAGCUUGCUCUGUGGGUGGCGAGUGGCGGACGGGUGAGGAAUACAUGGGAAUCUGCCCAGUCGUGGGGAUAACGUAGGGAAACUUACGCUAAUACCGCAUGCGCCCUUCGGGGAAAGCCGGGGACCUUCGGGCCUGGCGCGAUUGGAUGAGCCCAUGUCGGAUUAGCUAGUUGGCGGGGUAAUGGCCCACCAAGGCGACGAUCCGUAGCUGGUCUGAGAGGAUGAUCAGCCACACUGGAACUGAGACACGGUCCAGACUCCUACGGGAGGCAGCAGUAGGGAAUAUUGGACAAUGGGCGCAAGCCUGAUCCAGCCAUGCCGCGUGAGUGAAGAAGGCCCUCGGGUUGUAAAGCUCUUUUGUCCGGAAAGAAAAGCGCCGGGUUAAUACCCUGGUGUCCUGACGGUACCGGAAGAAUAAGCACCGGCUAACUUCGUGCCAGCAGCCGCGGUAAU